AAUAAAAUAUAUAUUUUUUAAAAGGUACGCCCAAUCUCGUCUGAUCUCGGAAGCAAAGCAGGGUCGGGCCUCGUUAGUACCUGGAUGGGAGACCGCCUGGGAAUACCAGGUGCUGUAAGCU
rnacentral:rRNA from 1 species